rnacentral:lncRNA from 1 species
GGAUUGGAUGUCCAGGGCAGGCUCUGAGGCUGAGCAACGCCAUCAGCCCCCAGGUCCCCUGGCUGGCGACUCUGUUAUGUGUGCUGUUUGUUCCUCAUGAUCUCAAGAUGGCUGCUGCUAAUCCAGCUGUGAUAUCUGUGCUUCAAGAAGAAAAGAGGGAAUCUACGGAGGCAGCACGAUCCUUAGUGGGAAAGAUUGAAAACAAGCACUCUGGACUUGUACUCAGUGAUGAAGUAGCCUUGGCUCCUGCCGGAGGUGGUCACAGUCCAGCAGGGGAGAGAAGACAUAUGUGCCCUGAACUACAGAUGAUGGAGAAGG